UACGGCCAUAGAAUCAAGAAAAUAUCUCUUCCCGUUCGCUUAGAGAAAUCAAGCUUGAUAUCGCUCGGUUAGUACCAAGGUCGGGGACGACUUGGGAAUCCCGAGUGCUGUAGUU